UGGUCAGUGAUGACUAGUCCACUGCGCAAGCUGAGGUGCUGUAAAAUACGCACUCUUGUGAAGAAGGCAGUGCUGAGCUUAGUCUGAGCCCC